UGGGGAAUUGUUCACAAUGGGCGCAAGCCUGAUGACGCAACGCCGCGUGGGGGAUGAAGGUCUUCGGAUUGUAAACCCCUGUCGAAUGGGACGAAAGACUCGCGAGUUAAUACUUCGCGGGAGUGACGGUACCGUUAAAGGAAGCCACGGCUAACUCUGUGCCAGCAGCCGCGGUAAUACAGAGGUGGCAAGCGUUACUCGGAAUUACUAGGCGUAAAGGGCAGGUAGGUGGUUCGAUAAGUCCCGGGUGAAAUCCCUCGGCUCAACCGAGGAACUGCCUUGGAAACUGUCUGGCUCGAGGCCGGGAGAGGGUAGUGGAAUUCCCAGUGUAGCGGUGAAAUGCGUAGAUACUGGGAGGAACACCGGUGGCGAAGGCGGCUACCUGGACCGGUUCUGACGCUGAUGCGCGAAAGCGUGGGGAGCAAACAGGAUUAGAUACCCCUGUAGUCCCUGAGCGGGCUGGCAAGGCGCAU
rnacentral:rRNA from 1 species